UUUAUUGGAGAGUUUGAUCCUGGCUCAGGACGAACGCUGGCGGCAUGCCUAAUACAUGCAAGUCGAGCGGACUUGAAGAGAAGCUUGCUUCUGUGAUGGUUAGCGGCGGACGGGUGAGUAACACGUAGGCAACCUGCCCUCAAGCUUGGGACAACUACCGGAAACGGUAGCUAAUACCGAAUACUUGCUUUCUUCGCCUGAAGGAAGCUGGAAAGACGGAGCAAUCUGUCACUUGAGGAUGGGCCUGCGGCGCAUUAGCUAGUUGGUGAGGUAACGGCUCACCAAGGCGACGAUGCGUAGCCGACCUGAGAGGGUGAUCGGCCA
rnacentral:rRNA from 1 species